GAUGAACGCUAGCUACAGGCUUAACACAUGCAAGUCGAGGGAUCGGCGCACGGGUGAGUAACACGUAUCCAACCUGCCCUUUACUCGGCGAUAGCCUUUCGAAAGAAAGAUUAAUACCCGAUAUAAAGGAUGGGGAUGCGUUCCGUUAGGUUGUUGGUGGGGUAACGGCUCACCAAGCCUUCGAUGGAUAGGGGUUCUGAGAGGAAGGUCGCCCAGAUUGGAACUGAGACACGGUCCAAACUCCGACGGGAGGCAGCAGUGAGGGAUAUUGGGCAAUGGGCACUAGUCUGAAACAGUCAAGUAGCGUGAAGAAUGAAGGCUUAUGGGUCGUAAACUUCUUUUAUAGAAGAAUAGGUAUUAUAUGAAUAAGGAUCGGCUAACUCCGUGCCAGCAGCCGCGGUAAUUC
rnacentral:rRNA from 1 species